rnacentral:rRNA from 1 species
GAUGAACGCUGGCGGCGUGCCUAAUACAUGCAAGUCGAGCGAACGGACGAGAAGCUUGCUUCUCUGAUGUUAGCGGCGGACGGGUGAGUAACACGUGGAUAACCUACCUAUAAGACUGGGAUAACUUCGGGAAACCGGAGCUAAUACCGGAUAAUAUUUUGAACCGCAUGGUUCAAAAGUGAAAGACGGUCUUGCUGUCACUUAUAGAUGGAUCCGCGCUGCAUUAGCUAGUUGGUAAGGUAACGGCUUACCAAGGCAACGAUGCAUAGCCGACCUGAGAGGGUGAUCGGCCACACUGGAACUAAGACGCGGUCCAGACGCCUACGGGGGACAGCAGUAGGGAAUCUUCGGGAAUGGGCGAAGGCCUGACGGAGCAGCGCCGCGUGAGUGAUGAAGGUCUUCGGAUCGUAAAACUCUGUUAUUAGGGAAGAACAAAUGUGUAAGUAACUGUGCACGUCUUGACGGUACCUAAUCAGAAAGCCACGGCUAACUACGUG